CGUAAUCUCCGAGGUACGAUAAACCGGGACGUAAAUACUUCCCAUCUUUGAUGACCGUGUUGAUUGUUACGCGAUAGGCGAAUGAAAAACGCUCAAACCAGCUGCCUCGUCAAUCAUAAAGUUGACGUAGUCUUUGAAACCGCCGAUAUCAGCCAUUGCUUUCUUCAAAACUUUGUUGGUUCUCUUGUUAGUACGAAUUACCGCUACACAAAAGGGGGGGUGGACAACUCAUCAGUGUGCCAUCAACUGCAGCAGUGUAGCACAGUUCCAAAGACAAGUCUAACUUAUCGGGCUCACAGGUCAGGCGCAGAUGAAUAAGCAACGACCAGUACGAUAGGACGCUUAAAUCUAGACAACUUUUGUGGGUCCAACAGUAGUGCACCCGACACACUCUCUGUCGCUCAAUGUCCGUCAACUUCGGUAUCCAACCCUC
rnacentral:lncRNA from 1 species